rfam:Macaca mulatta chromosome 5, whole genome shotgun sequence.
AUUUUAGUAUGAAUAUGUCCCAUGCAAUAUUUGGGACAUAAUUAUGCUAAAG